GACGAACGCUGGCGGCGUGCUUAACACAUGCAAGUCGAGCGGUAAGGCCCUUUCGGGGGUACACGAGCGGCGAACGGGUGAGUAACACGUGGGCGACCUACCCUCAGCUUCGGGAUAAGCCUGGGAAACUGGGGUCUAAUACCGGAUAUGACCUUCCCUCGCAUGGGGGUUGGUGGAAAGUUUUUUCGGCUGGGGAUGGGCCCGCGGCCUAUCAGCUUGUUGGUGGGGUGAUGGCCUACCAAGGCGACGACGGGUAGCCGGCCUGAGAGGGCGACCGGCCACACUGGGACUGAGAUAC
rnacentral:rRNA from 1 species